rnacentral:rRNA from 1 species
GAACGCUGGCGGCGUGCUAACAAUGCAAGUCGAGCGGUAACAGGUGUAGCAAUACAUGCUGACGAGCGGCGAACGGGUGAGUAAUGUUUCGGAAUCUGCCCAAUGGCGGGGAAUAACCAGCCGAAAGGUUGGCUAAUACCGCAUAAGCCCUACGGGGGAAAGCGGGGGAUCGCAAGACCUCGCGCCGAUGGAUGAGCCGAAACCGGAUUAGCUAGUUGGUAGGGUAACGGCCUACCAAGGCGACGAUCCGUAGCUGGUCUGAGAGGACGACCAGCCACACUGGGACUGAGACACGGCCCAGACUCCUACGGGAGGCAGCAGUGGGGAAUAUUGGACAAUGGGGGAAACCCUGAUCCAGCGACGCCGCGUGUGUGAAGAAGGCCUGCGGGUUGUAAAGCACUUUUAGUGGGGAUGAAAAGCUCAGGGCUAAUACCGCUGAGUCUUGACCUAACCCAAAGAAAAAGCACCGGCUAACUCUGUGCCAGCAGCCGCGGUAAUACAGAGGGUGCAAGCGUUAAUCGGAAUUACUGGGCGUAAAGCGUGCGUAGACGGUUAUGUAAGUCGGGUGUGAAAGCCCCGGGCUCAACCUGNGAAUGGCAUUCGAGACUGCA